rnacentral:rRNA from 1 species
UACGUAGGUGACCAGCGUUGUCCGGAUUUACUGGGCGUAAAGAGCGCGCAGGCGGUCGUUCAAGUCGAGUGUGAAAGCCCCCGGCUCAACUGGGGAGGGUCACUCGAUACUGAUCGACUUGAAGGCAGGAGAGGGAAGCGGAAUUCCCGGUGUAGUGGUGAAAUGCGUAGAUAUCGGGAGGAACACCAGUGGCGAAGGCGGCUUCCUGGCCUGU